rnacentral:rRNA from 1 species
UACGGGGGGAGCAAGCGUUGUUCGGAUUUACUGGGCGUAAAGGGCGCGUAGGCGGUCAGCACAAGUCAGUUGUGAAAUCUCCGAGCUUAACUCGGAAAGGUCAACUGAUACUGUGCGACUAGAGUGCAGAAGGGGCAACUGGAAUUCUUGGUGUAGCGGUGAAAUGCGUAGAUAUCAAGAGGAACACCUGCGGCGAAGGCGGGUUGCUGGGCUGACACUGACGCUGAGGCGCGAAAGCGUGGGGAGCAAACAGG